rnacentral:rRNA from 1 species
AGAGUUCGAUUCUUGGCUCAGAUUGAACGCUGGCGGGAUGCUUUACACAUGCAAGUCGAACGGCAGCAUUUGACUUCGGUCUGGUGGCGAGUGGCGGAACGGUGAGUAAUGUAUCGGAACGUGCCUAGUAGCGGGGAUAACUACGCGAAAGUGCAGCUAAUACCGCAUACGCCCUUCGGGGAAAGCGGGGGGACCUUCGGGCCUCGUACUAUUAGAGCGGCCGAUAUCGGAUUAGCGAAGCGGGUAACGGCUCACCAAGGCGACGAUCCGUAGCUGGUUUGAGAGGACGACCAGCCACACUGGGACUGGAGACACGGCCCAGAUCUACGGGAGGCAGCAGUGGGGAAUUUUGGACAAUGGGGAAACCCUGAUCCAGCCAUCUCAAGUGCGAUGAAGUAAUUUUGGUUGUAAAGCACCUUUGGCAGGAAAGAAACGGCACGGGACAAUACCCGUGCAACUGAUUGGUAGUACCUUCCGUAUAUCAUGGCACCGGCUAUCCAUGCCAGCAGCCGCGGUAAUAACAGGGUGCAAGCGUUAAUCGGAAUUACUGGGCGUAAAGCGUGCGCAGGCGGUUCGGAAAGAAAGAUGUGAAAUCCCAGAGUCAACUUGAACCGCAUUUUUAACUACCGAGCUAUGCGUCAGGAGGGAGGCGGAAUUCCGCGUAAAGAGAAAGGAAUGCGUAGAUAUGCGGAGGAACACCGAUGGCGAAGGCACCUCUCCUGGGAUAACACCGGACGCUCAUGCACGAAAGCGUGGGGAGCAAACAGGAUUAGACUGGUAGUCCACGCACUAAACGAUGUCAACUAGCUGUUGGGGCCUUCGGGCUCGGUAGCGCAGCUAACGCGUGAAGUUGACCGCCUGGGGAGUAGAUGGUCGCAAGAUUAAAAACUCGUGCUGAAUUGGACGGGGACCCGCACAAGCGGUGGAUGAUGUGGAUUAAUUCGAUGCAACGCGAAAAACCUUACCUACCCUUGACAUGUCUGGAAUCCCGAAGAUUUGGGAGUGCUCGCAAGAGAACCGAACACAGGUGCUGCAUGGCUGUCGUCAGCUCGUGUCGUGAGAUGUUAAAGCUAAGUCCUGCAACGAGCGCAACCUUGUCAUUAGUUGCUACGAAAGGGCACUCUAUCGAGACUGCCGGUGACAAACCGAGGAAGGUGGGGAUGACGUCAAGUCCUCAUGGUCUUAUGGGUAGGGCUUCACACGUCAUACAAUGGUCGGGACAGAGGGUCGCCAACCCGGCGAGGGGGAGCCAAUCCCAGAAACCCGAUCGUAGUCCGGAUCGCAGUCUGCAACUCGACUGCGUGAAGUCGGAAUCUCCAUAAUCGCGGAUCAAAGAAGUGUCGCGGGGUGAAUACGUUCCCGGCCUGUACGCCCGCCCGUCACACCAUGGGAGGGUUUUACCAGAAGUAGUUAGCUCAACCGUAAGGAGGGCGAUUACCACGGUAGGAUUCAUGACUGGGGUGAAGUCGUAACAAGGUA